AGUGGAGACAGGGUACAGGGCAGAAUGAACCAGUGUUACAGUACCAGAGAAAAUCUGGUCUCAGCUCUUCCUCCACCCUUCUCUGAGACCGUGGAGGGCAGUUUGUUGGGCGUGGUGACACCGAAUCCAUCUGUGAGGACUACUAGUUAAUUCUCAGUCCUUGGGGCUUUCCAAAAACCGAAGACCAGAAAUACAGAAAAAUAAAACAAAAAACCAGAGCCACUGCUGCUGCCCUUCCAAGGCCAUGAAAAGAACCUUAUUUCAGCUGGGAUUGGCAAAAGGGAAGUUUCUCAACAAUCUGACUUCCCUUGGCUUCGCAGUGCCUCGCUGUGUACUUGAAUGGAUGCGGGAUUCAGCCUGCCAUUGCCCUGGGCAAACGACCCAUUUUCCUAACACCAUUAAACUGAACAAUGAUGGAAAUGGGAGAGAAUGGGCCCACCCUAAAGCCCUAAGGUGGCUGGGUGAUCAGUAAGUCUGGGCAAAUUUGGAGCUGAUCCUGUGAAGGAAACCACCUCACCCCCUGCACUUCAUGGAAUGUGUUCUGGUUGAGCUUCUUGGCUCUCCAUCUACUUUUCAUAAUGACCAGAGCUUGUCUGAGCAGAGCUCACUGCAUGUGCUAGGGUGCUUUAUAGGCACAGCUCCGGUUCAUUUUUACAA
ensembl:antisense Gm13872 predicted gene 13872